rnacentral:rRNA from 1 species
UACGUAGGGGGCAAGCGUUGUCCGGAAUUAUUGGGCGUAAAGCGCGUGUAGGCGGCCAGAUAAGUCCGAUGUGAAAUCUCGAGGCUCAACUUCGAGCUGUCGGUGGAAACUGUCUGGCUAGAGUCCGGAAGAGGAGAAUGGAAUUCCUGGUGUAGCGGUGAAAUGCGCAGAUAUCAGGAAGAACACCCGUGGCGAAGGCGGUUCUCUGGGACGGUACUGACGCUGAGACGCGAAAGCGUGGGGAGCGAACAGG